CAAUGGGCGCAAGCUGAUCCAGCAAUGCCGCGUGAGUGAAGAAGGCCUUCGGGUUGUAAAGCUCUUUUGUCAGGGAAGAAACGGUCUCGGCUAAUAUCCGGGGCUAAUGACGGUACCUGAAGAAUAAGCACCGGCUAACUACGUNGGNCNGCAGCCGCGUUAAUACGUAGGGUGCAAGNGUUAAUCNGAAUUACUGGGCGUAAAGCGUGCGCAGGCGGUUUUGUAAGUCUGUCGAGAAAGCCCCGGGCUCACCCUGAGAAUUGCGAUGGAGACUGCAAGGCUUGAAUCUGGCAGAGGGGGGUAGAAUUCCACGUGUAGCAGAGAAAUGCGUAGAGAUGUGGAGGAACACCGAUGGCGAAGGCUGCCCCCUGNGUCAAGAUUGACGCUCAGGCACGAAAGCGUGGGGAGCAAACAGGAUUAGAUACCCUGGUAGUCCACGCCCUAAACGAUGUCUACUAGUUGUCGGGUUUUAAUUAACUUGGUAACGCAGCUAACGCGUGAAGUAUACCGCCUGGGGAGUACGGUCGCA
rnacentral:rRNA from 1 species